rnacentral:tRNA from 1 species
GCGGAUGUUUUCGCAGUUCAGGGCUGGAACCUUUCGUUCGGGACGAAGAGGUCGUGGGUUCGAAUCCCGCCACCCCG